CUCUCCUCUCUCUCUCUCUCUCUCUCUCUCUCUCUCUCUCUCUUUCUCUCCUCUCUCUCUCUCUCUCUCUCUCUCCUUUUCUUCACUUCUGAUUCUCAUUGUUUCGUGAAUUAUUGCGCUGAUGAAAUAACAUUAACUAGAAGGCAAUAAAUCACGGGUUUUCUUUACAAAGAACAAAAAAAAAAAUUCUUGGUGAUUAGUAUAGAAACAUAUAUAAAGCAAAAUUUACCCCGAAUAUUUCAUUUAAUGAAUAGAUAAGGUAGAGGUAGAUGUGGUACCAAGUCAUACCAGGUAGAGGUAGAUGUGCCAAGUCAUACCAGGUAGAGGUAGAUGUGGUGCCAAGUCAUACCAGGUAGAGAAUUAUAUGGUGCCAAGUCAUACCAGGUAGAGGUUGAUAUGGUGCCAAGUCAUACCAGGUAGAGGCUUGUGUGGUGCCAAGUCAUACCAUACAUUUCAUCUGCUAAAAGCUGCCUGUGUUACUGGUCCACCCGAAACGCAAGCUCUAAACACACAGUGACUUGGGUUGUAUUUUGUAUUUGUACUUCAAGCGAGAAAGAUGCCUCGGAUGUGCUGUACCCCGCAUUACCCAUAGAGGAAUGCGUGGGAUGGACUAAGCAGUCUGUGUAAGGACUGGAUUAUUAUGUGAGUCGGAAUCAGGUUUUUCACGUCGGUAUGACUUGGCGCCGGGUGCAAGUGUGUGUGUCUGCGGGCUUCUUCGCUGUCCUGACCUUGGAACUAAAUCGUCUGUUGUUGCUGGGAACAAGCACGCGUGCCUCUUCACUGUAGCUCUUCCUCUAUUUAUUCGGUCUGGGGGAAAAAAA